GGAGGUGUGGCUGAGUGGUUUAAGGCGAUAGUCUUGAAAACUAUUGUCCAUGAAAGUGGACCGUGAGUUCGAAUCUCACCGCCUCCG
rnacentral:tRNA from 1 species